AUUCUGGAUGUAGCUGUCAUUGGCACAGAGCUUUCACUGAAGUCUAGAACUGGAAGCUGUAUCAUCCUACAUGUUAUGCUAACCUAUCAAUUGAUGGCCCAAGCUGUGCAGGAAUGCCCACUCCUGGCUGAAUCCUACUGCCCUGAGACUGAUCUGAGCCAUGAGGACACGGGUUGCAACCUGCCACACAUCAGCAACUGGGAGAACAUAGACGAUUGGCCAUCAGCUGCAACGAUUCACCAAACUGAGCCAACAAGACAAUGUCAUUGGCAUAUUUAAGAUCUUGAAGCAGAACCAACAGCUGCCUCCUCAAGCUUAUCCAUCAACCAAUCAGUGCCAAUAUUGAACAAUGAUGGUGACAGAACACAGCCUCAUCAAACUCUCAUAGAGAUAGGAAACCAUGCUGUGUAUCAGCCAUUGACUUGAACAUAGCUUUCUGUUCCAUUAUAGAGCUCUUCUAUCAAUGACACUAUCUUUCUAAGGAUGCAGAGAUGCCUUAUCAGAGGCCUGGUCUUGUUAUUAAUUUGAAUAAAACUAGAUCCCUGGCCAUUAUCUUCAAACAGCCUCCAGCUCCAGAUUUCAACCAGCUCAGUAUUAACCCGCCUGGACAGAACAUCAGGCAGGUAGCAGUUCUCAAAUAUUUGUUCUGUUAUAGACAAUGCUUGAGGAUGAUUGAAGUAAGUGGAUGCUCUU